UUCAAGAUUCACGAAUUUAAUAAAAGAAUGUGAAAAACUCAUUGCUGAGGAAAUGGGCAAUCUUACACAGGAAUCUGUGGAAAAUACUGUUCAGGAGACUGUUUUACCAAUUAAUGACAUUGUACCCGUGAGUGAUCAACCGCAUCAAGCGACUAGAGAAGUCAAACCGAAAUUCAGGCACGAAUUUUAUCAGAAACCGGAAGAAGUAGUUGUGACCAUAUUUGCUAAGGGAAUACCAGCUGAAAAUGUUGCUGUUGAAUUUGGCGAACAAAUUCUAAGUGUGACUAUUGAUCUUCCUGACGAAGAUGCAUAUCGUUUCCAGACUCGUUUAUUUGGGAAGAUAAUACGCGAGAAGUGCAAAUUUUUUGUUUUAUCAACAAAAAUUGAAAUUCGUCUUGCAAAGGCUGAGCAAAUACACUGGACAUCUCUUGAAUUCUGCAAGGAGAAUAGUAUUACCCAGAGCAUUGUCUCCGCCAGUGGAUCUCAGAGGCCCUCUUACCCCUCCUCUAAGCCAAGAAGAGAUUGGGAUAAGAUUGAAGCUCAAGUGAAAAAAGAGGAGAAAGACGAAAAACUAGAUGGGGAUGCAGCGUUGAACAAGUUUUUCCGAGACAUAUACAAGGAUGCUGAUGAGGAUACAAGAAGGGCCAUGCAAAAAUCAUUCGUGGAAUCAAAUGGCACGGUCCUGUCGACGAACUGGAAGGAGGUGGGAUCAAAGAAGGUUGAAGGUAGCCCUCCAGAUGG
rnacentral:misc_RNA from 1 species